UACAGAGGUGGCAAGCGUUGUUCGGAAUUACUGGGCGUAAAGGGCUCGUAGGCGGCCAACUAAGUCGGACGUGAAAUCCCUCGGCUUAACCGGGGAACUGCGUCCGAUACUGGAUGGCUUGAGUUCGGGAGAGGGAUGCGGAAUUCCAGGUGUAGCGGUGAAAUGCGUAGAUAUCUGGAGGAACACCGGUGGCGAAGGCGGCAUCCUGGACCGACACUGACGCUGAGGAGCGAAAGCCAGGGGAGCAAACGGG
rnacentral:rRNA from 1 species